ACCUCAUUCUGUGGUGUGAACAGGGGGAUUCCCAUCUUCCUGAAACGACUUAGUCUUGAGCUGCCUGUGCCCUUCCCAUCGCAGUGAAUGUUGUCAGUUGGGGAUGACUGGGCAGCCAUGGGGAAGGCAAGAAUUCAAUUCUGGGUCCUGAGCAGGGGUUGUCCUGGUCAACAAGCAACUUCAGUUCCUUGGGACAGGACCCCAGACUUGCUGGUAUGACGUCAUUGUUUCUUUACUGGAAGACAGCAGCGUAUUCCAGGAGCGCAAUGCAGUAGAAAGCAACCACUUGGUCCUAGAGACCGAGACUAAUUUCUGGGAAAGAGGCAGCUAGGCUCCUCCGCCUUACGCAGGUCAUGAAGACUCAGUACACUGAGAUCGAAGGUCCUCAGUUCCUAGCUAAGCAAGCCUCCAAGGACUGUGACAUCCCAACCUUCGGACGAGGAUGGAGGCGGGAGGAGACACAGCCUGGCCAGGAGACCUGGGGUUGGGGAUCUGCCCCUGGUCUGGCUCAGCAAUCAGGCAAGUCACUACCCUGGCUGAGGCCAGCUUUGUUGGCAGUGAAAUGGGUGAACGCUGCCUCUGCUUGAAUCAAGAGUUUGUCAGGAUGCUGUGGG